GUCGAGAAUCUUUCACAAUGGGGGCAACCCUGAUGGAGCGACGCCGCGUGGAGGAUAAGGUCUUCGGAUUGUAAACUCCUGUCAUGCGUGAGCAAGGUUGCAGGGAUAAUACCUCUGCAAAUUGAUAGUAUCGCAAGAGGAAGAGACGGCUAACUCUGUGCCAGCAGCCGCGGUAAUACAGAGGUCUCAAGCGUUGUUCGGAAUCACUGGGCGUAAAGGGUGCGUAGGUGGCGUGGUAAGUCAGAUGUGAAAGCCCGGGGCUCAACCUCGGAACUGCAUCCGAUACUGCCAUGCUAGAGUACUGGAGAGGUGACUAGAAUUCUCGGUGUAGCAGUGAAAUGCGUAGAUAUCGAGAGGAAUACCAAAGGCGUAGGCAGGUCACUGGACAGUUACUGACACUGAGGCACGAAGGCCAGGGGAGCGAACGGGAUUAGAAACCCUUGUAGUCC
rnacentral:rRNA from 1 species